rnacentral:rRNA from 1 species
AUGUAAUGUAAUUCCUACAAUGUUAAUACAUCGUAUCUCAUUAUAACUCUGCAGUUAAGUAUGCUUGGGAUACAGUAGUAUUGGGAUGGGUAACCUCCAGGGAAGUGUUUUACAUGCCAAU